GUUUAAAUAUAAGCUUUUUGAUUUUAGGUUGAAACGAUCUUGUCAAAAAGGUACAUGAAAGACGUUUACGCUGGGAUCUUUCUUACUUAGGGUUAUAGCUGACCCUUCUCACGUCUUCUAUCCCCAAAACACUUGACUGGCACCUGACUUCACUGCUUCGCUUUAGUAGCUGAUUCAGGGAAGGCUGUUUUCUGGUUUUCCUUCCUUCUUUCUUUUCCUUUUCUUUUGGUCAUGAAGAGGGUUAGAUUUGAGGUCAGGACUACGGUGAAGCAAGUGAGGGGUAUUUGCCUCAGACACAUAUAAGGAAGCACUGAAAAAACUUAGUAAUCAAGAUAGAUAAUAUUUUAAUGCAACAUUAUAAAAAUCAAAAUCAAUGUAAAAAUUCACGAUAAAAAAAUAUCAAAAUUUUCAAAUAAGCCAGGAUCAGUAUUACUGACUUUUCCUUUUCCCUCAGCCUCCACUAUGGCUCUGCAUGGCACUGGAUGGAUUGUAAUGACAACAAGCUGGAGAAUGGGGUGGUAUUUCUGAGGGUAGAAUGUGAAUCCGUCAUAACUGGCUGCCUAUUGAUUGAGAGCAGUUUGGUCCAAUGGGCACAGGACAGUAAAAAGAAGGGGGAGUCCUGGCUUUUGUUUCCAGCCCUACUACUAACAGGCAAAGCUGACCUUGGAUAAAACUUUGUAACUCUUUCCUAGUUCUGCCUGCCCUGUUGAAUUCCCCUCAACACUGGUGAGUAAACAGUCUAUUUCAUCUGAAGUUCAUAGCCUAUAGGAGAGCAGUUACCCAAUAGAGAAUUCAAGGAGCAUGGCCUAAUUUGUCCUAGAAUUAUAUGGGGCAAGCGCUACCUAAAUAAAUGGCAUUUUUGUGCAACGUUUAAGUGUGUG
rnacentral:lncRNA from 1 species